GCCUUUUUCUGUUUCAGCAUGGAACCAAAGGGAGGACUCAAACCCUGUAAUAGCACAGAUAUAAGAACUACAGUCUUCAGUGAGGGGACCCCAAUCUUCCUUGGCCAGUUCUGACUCAGGCAUUGCUUAGACACGUGCGCAGAUCUCUGUCAGGAUGGUGUUUGGUUGUAGAGUAAUUGAGAGGAGGACUCUGAAUUUGGUCAGCCCCCGUGGCCACUACUGUGCCUCUUCCCUCCCUCUGCACCAGCCCUCACAGCCCAGCAGAAAUUCCUCAGCAUCCUUCAGAUGUCAGCUGACAGCAUUCCUUGCUUCCUCUCAUGGACUUGGUCAGCACCUGCAGAGGACACUGCCGUGAUCCCGUGGAAGAGUGCCCACCCAAGUUAAAAAGAAACAAGCAGGGUGAAGAUCUCCAAGUGAAUAUGUCCGCUGGGCCCAUGAGUAGAAACUUUCUCUCUUUCCUGGUGAUUUCAUCACAAAGAUGGAGGAGAAGGGCGCAGGGGGGCCUGCACUAGGCAAUUCCACUGUGUAUCUCCCAGGAGGGUGAGUCACUUCAGGAUAAGACACCUUGUCUCCAUUCCCCAGCCACAAAGCAGGACAACCUGAGUGCUUU